AUGGCGGCGCGGCGCGCUAUAAAACCCCACCAUCCCAGCCCCAGUGAAGCCACACUUGCAUCGUUCACUACACUGCAGCAGGAACGGAGCAGCCGAUCGAAGCGAGCUCGAGGCGAGAAGAUGAUUCCCAUGGUGAUCCUGGCGGCGGCCGCGGCCGUGUGCGCCUACUUCUGGUCGCCGGCGGCGAUGAUGCACGCGCCGGGAGCCGCCGGACGGUUGAUCCGCCGGGCGGCGUUCGAAGCCUUCCCGGAGCUCUACUGCUGCCUGCUCCGCACGUUUGGACCCGCCGAGGCCGCGUUCGUGUUCCGCCACCUCCCCCGGUGGCUCAUCCGGCUCUUGGCUUCCCAUUUCGGCAUGUGCGACGACUGUCUGCUGGUCGAUGUAAUUUGA
rnacentral:rRNA from 1 species